CGUUGAUUACGUCCCUGCCCUUUGUACACACCGCCCGUCGCUACUACCGAUUGAAUGGCUCAGUGAGGCUUUCGGACUGGCCUAGGAAGAUUGGCAACGCCCAUCUAGGGCCGGAAAGUUGUUCAAACUUGGUCAUUUAGAGGAAGUAAAAGUCGUAACAAGG
rnacentral:rRNA from 1 species